rnacentral:rRNA from 1 species
GGACGAACGCUGGCGGCGUGCUUAACACAUGCAAGUCGAACGGAAAGGCCCUGCUUUUGUGGGGUGCUCGAGUGGCGAACGGGUGAGUAACACGUGAGUAACCUGCCCUUGACUUUGGGAUAACUUCAGGAAACUGGGGCUAAUACCGGAUAGGAGCUCCUGCUGCAUGGGGGGGGUUGGAAAGUUUCGGCGGUUGGGGAUGGACUCGCGGCUUAUCAGCUUGUUGGUGGGGUAGUGGCUUACCAAGGCUUUGACGGGUAGCCGGCCUGAGAGGGUGACCGGCCACAUUGGGACUGAGAUACGGCCCAGACUCCUACGGGACGCAGCAGUGGGGAAUAUUGCACAAUGGGCGGAAGCCUGAUGCAGCAACGCCGCGUGCGGGAUGACGGCCUUCGGGUUGUAAACCGCUUUCGCCUGUGACGAAGCGUGAGUGACGGUAAUGGGUAAAGAAGCACCGGCUAACUACGUG